rnacentral:rRNA from 1 species
CCUAAUACAUGCAAGUCGAACGAGAUCUUCGGAUCUAGUGGCGCACGGGUGCGUAACGCGUGGGAAUCUGCCCUUGGGUUCGGAAUAACAGUUGGAAACGACUGCUAAUACCGGAUGAUGACGUAAGUCCAAAGAUUUAUCGCCCAGGGAUGAGCCCGCGUAGGAUUAGCUAGUUGGUGGGGUAAAGGCCUACCAAGGCGACGAUCCUUAGCUGGUCUGAGAGGAUGAUCAGCCACACUGGGACUGAGACACGGCCCAGACUCCUACGGGAGGCAGCAGUAGGGAAUAUUGGACAAUGGGGGCAACCCUGAUCCAGCAAUGCCGCGUGAGUGAUGAAGCCUUAGGGUUGUAAAGCUCUUUUACCCGAGAUGAUAAUGACAGUAUCGGGA